rnacentral:rRNA from 1 species
CCCUUAGAUGUUCUGGGCCGCACGCGCGCUACACUGAUGCAUUCAACGAGCCUAUCCUUGACCGACAGGUCCGGGUAAUCUUUGAAUCUGCAUCGUGACGGGGAUAGAUUAUUGCAAUUAUUAAUCUUCAACGAGGAAUGCCUAGUAGGAGCAAGUCAUCAGCUUGCGUCGAUUACGUCCCUGCCCUUUGUACACACCGCCCGUCGCUCCUACCGAUUGGGUGUGCUGGUGAAAUGUUCGGAUCGGCCGUUUGUCGCGGUUUCCGCGUCAUGUGGCUGAGAAGUUCAUUAAACCCUCCCACCUAGAGGAAGGAGAAGUCGUAACA